rnacentral:rRNA from 1 species
GGCUCAGAACGAACGCUGGCGGCGUGCUUAACACAUGCAAGUCGAACGCGAAAGGGGACUUCGGUCCUGAGUAAAAGUGGCGCACGGGUGAGUAACGCGUAGAUAACCUGUCUUAUGUCUGGAAUAAUACGCCGAAAGGGGUACUAAUACCGGAUAUUUUUGCAUUGCAUAAGCAGUGUAAGCAAAGGUGGCCUCUGACAUAAGCUACUGCAUAAAGAGGGGUCUGCGUACCAUUAGCUAGUAGGUGGGGUAAAGGCCUACCUAGGCUACGAUGGUUAGCGGGUCUGAGAGGAUGAUCCGCCACACUGGCACUGGAACACGGGCCAGACUCCUACGGGAGGCAGCAGUGAGGAAUAUUGCGCAAUGGGGGCAACUCUGACGCAGCGACGCCGCGUGAGUGAGGAAGGCCUUCGGGUCGUAAAGCUCUGUCAAAGGGAAAGAAGUGCAUGGUGGUUAAUACCUGCCAUGUUGACGGUACCUUAAAGGAAGCACCGGCUAACUCCGUGCCAGCAGCCGC